rnacentral:rRNA from 1 species
GUUUUGAAAGGCGCUUUACGGUGCCGCUGAUGGAUGGACCCGCGGUGCAUUAGCUAGUUGGUGAGGUAACGGCUCACCAAGGCCACGAUGCAUAGCCGACCUGAGAGGGUGAUCGGCCACAUUGGGACUGAGACACGGCCCAAACUCCUACGGGAGGCAGCAGUAGGGAAUCUUCGGCAAUGGACGAAAGUCUGACCGAGCAACGCCGCGUGAGUGAAGAAGGUUUUCGGAUCGUAAAACUCUGUUGUUAGAGAAGAACAAGGGUGAGAGUAACUGUUCACCCCUUGACGGUAUCUAACCAGAAAGCCACGGCUAACUACGUGCCAGCAGCCGCGGUAAUACGUAGGUGGCAAGCGUUGUCCGGAUUUAUUGGGCGUAAAGCGAGCGCAGGCGGUUUCUUAAGUCUGAUGUGAAAGCCCCCGGCUCAACCGGGGAGGGUCAUUGGAAACUGGGAGACUUGAGUGCAGAAGAGGAGAGUGGAAUUCCAUGUGUAGCGGUGAAAUGCGUAGAUAUAUGGAGGAACACCAGUGGCGAAGGCGGCUCUCUGGUCUGUAACUGACGCUGAGGCUCGAAAGCGUGGGGAGCAAACAGGAUUAGAUACCCUGGUAGUCCACGCCGUAAACGAUGAGUGCUAAGUGUUGGAGGGUUUCCGCCCUUCAGUGCUGCAGCUAACGCAUUAAGCACUCCGCCUGGGGAGUACGACCGCAAGGUUGAAACUCAAAGGAAUUGACGGGGGCCCGCACAAGCGGUGGAGCAUGUGGUUUAAUUCGAAGCAACGCGAAGAACCUUACCAGGUCUUGACAUCCUUUGACCACUCUAGAGAUAGAGCUUCCCCUUCGGGGGCAAAGUGACAGGUGGUGCAUGGUUGUCGUCAGCUCGUGUCGUGAGAUGUUGGGUUAAGUCCCGCAACGAGCGCAACCCUUAUUGUUAGUUGCCAUCAUUUAGUUGGGCACUCUAGCAAGACUGCCGGUGACAAACCGGAGGAAGGUGGGGAUGACGUCAAAUCAUCAUGCCCCUUAUGACCUGGGCUACACACGUGCUACAAUGGGAAGUACAACGAGUCGCGAAGUCGCGAGGCUAAGCUAAUCUCUUAAAGCUUCUCUCAGUUCGGAUUGUAGGCUGCAACUCGCCUACAUGAAGCCGGAAUMGAUWGUAAUCGYGGRUCAGCACGCCGCGGUGAAUACGUUCCCGGGCCUUGUACACACCGCCCGUCACACCACGAGAGUUUGUAACACCCGAAGUCGGUGAGGUAACCUUUUUGGAGCCAGCCGCCUAAGGUGGGAUAGAUGAUUGGGGUGAAG